rnacentral:rRNA from 1 species
CAGUCGCCGCGGGAAUACGAAGGGGGCUAGCGUUGUUCGGAAUUACUGGGCGUAAAGCGUCUGUAGGUGGCUUUUCAAGUCCGCCGUCAAAUCCCAGGGCUCAACCGGGGAGGUUCAUUGGAAACUGGGAAACUUGAGUGCAGAAGAGGAGAGUGGAAUUCCACGUGUAGCGGUGAAAUGCGUAGAGAUGUGGAGGAACACCAGUGGCGAAGGCGACUCUCUGGUCUGUAACUGACGCUGAGGAGCGAAAGCGUGGGGAGCGAACAGGAUUAGAGACCCGAGUAGUCCCUGUCUCUUAUAC